rnacentral:rRNA from 1 species
AACAAACGCUGGCGGCGUGCCUAACACAUGCAAGUCGUACGAGAAAGGGUCCUUCGGGGCCUGAGUAAAGUGGCGCACGGGUGAGUAACGCGUGGAUAAUCUGCCCUUCAGUUGGGAAUAACUCAUCGAAAGGUGGGCUAAUACCGAAUAAUGCUGUGAGACCUCGGUUGAUCAGCCAAAGAGAGCCUCUGCUUGCAAGCCCUCGCUGAAGGAUGAGUCCGCGUACCAUUAGCUAGUUGGUAGGGUAAUGGCCUACCAAGGCGACGAUGGUUAGCUGGUCGGAGAGGGUGAUCAGCCACACUGGAACUGAGACACGGUCCAGACUCCUACUGGAGGCAGCAGUGAGGAAUCUUGCGCAAUGGGGGCAGCCCUGACGCAGCAACGCCGCGUGAGUGAGGAAGUUCUUCGGUUCGUAAAGCUCUGUCGGAUGGAAAGAACCGCAUAGGGGUAAACAGCCCCUGUGUCUGACGGUACCAUCAAAGGAAGCACCGGCUAACUCCGUGCCAGCCGCCGCUGUAAUAC